rnacentral:rRNA from 1 species
GGGUUGUGAGGUUAAGCGACUAAGCGUACACGGUGGAUGCCCUGGCAGUCAGAGGCGAUGAAGGACGUGCUAAUCUGCGAAAAGCGUCGGUAAGGUGAUAUGAACCGUUACAGCCGGCGAUGUCCGAAUGGGGAAACCCAGUGCAAUUCGUUGCACUAUCGUUAACUGAAUACAUAGGUUAACGAGGCGAACCGGGGGAACUGAAACAUCUAAGUACCCCGAGGAAAAGAAAUCAACCGAGAUUCCCCCAGUAGCGGCGAGCGAACGGGGAGCAGCCCAGAGUCUGAAUCAGCUUGUGUGUUAGUGGAACGGUCUGGAAAGUCCGACGGUACAGGGUGAUAGUCCCGUACACCAAAAUGCACAGGCUGUGAACUCGAAGAGUAGGGCGGGACACGUGGUAUCCUGUCUGAAUAUGGGGGGACCAUCCUCCAAGGCUAAAUACUCCUGACUGACCGAUAGUGAACCAGUACCGUGAGGGAAAGGCGAAAAGAACCCCGGCGAGGGGAGUGAAAAAGAACCUGAAACCGUGUACGUACAAGCAGUGGGAGCACCUUCGGGUGUGACUGCGUACCUUUUUGUAUAAUGGGUCAGCGACUUAUAUUCUGUAGCAAGGUUAACCGUAUAGGGGAGCCGCAGGGAAACCGAGUCUUAACUGGGCGUUAAGUUGCAGGGUAUAGACCCGAAACCCGGUGAUCUAGCCAUGGGCAGGUUGAAGGUUGGGUAACACUAACUGGAGGACCGAACCGACUAAUGUUGAAAAAUUAGCGGAUGACUUGUGGCUGGGGGUGAAAGGCCAAUCAAACCGGGAGAUAGCUGGUUCUCCCCGAAAGCUAUUUAGGUAGCGCCUCGUGAACUCAUCUUCGGGGGUAGAGCACUGUUUCGGCUAGGGGUCAUCCCGACUUACCAACCCGAUGCAAACUACGAAUACCGAAGAAUGUUAUCACGGGAGACACACGGCGGGUGCUAACGUCCGUCGUGAAGAGGGAAACAACCCAGACCGCCAGCUAAGGUCCCAAAGUCAUGGUUAAGUGGGAAACGAUGUGGGAAGGCACAGACAGCCAGGAUGUUGGCUUAGAAGCAGCCAUCAUUUAAAGAAAGCGUAAUAGCUCACUGGUCGAGUCGGCCUGCGCGGAAGAUGUAACGGGGCUAAACCAUGCACCGAAGCUGCGGCAGCGACACUAUGUGUUGUUGGGUAGGGGAGCGUUCUGUAAGCCUGCGAAGGUGCUGUGAGGGUUGCUGGAGGUAUCAGAAGUGCGAAUGCUGACAUAAGUAACGAUAAAGCGGGUGAAAGCCCGCUCGCCGGAAGACCAAGGGUUCCUGUCCAACGUUAAUCGGGGCAGGGUGAGUCGACCCCUAAGGCGAGGCCGAAAGGCGUAGUCGAUGGGAAACAGGUUAAUAUUCCUGUACUUGGUGUUACUGCGAAGGGGGACGGAGAAGGCUAUGUUAGCCGGGCGACGGUUGUCCCGGUUUAAGCAUGUAGGCUGGUUGUCCAGGCAAAUCCGGAUAAUCAAGGCUGAGGUGUGAUGACGAGGCACUACGGUGCUGAAGUAACAAAUGCCCUGCUUCCAGGAAAAGCCUCUAAGCAUCAGGUAACAUAAAUCGUACCCCAAACCGACACAGGUGGUCAGGUAGAGAAUACCAAGGCGCUUGAGAGAACUCGGGUGAAGGAACUAGGCAAAAUGGUGCCGUAACUUCGGGAGAAGGCACGCUGGUGUGUAGGUGAAGUCCCUGCGGAUGGAGCUGAGACCAGUCGAAGAUACCAGCUGGCUGCAACUGUUUAUUAAAACACAGCACUGUGCAAACACGAAAGUGGACGUAUACGGUGUGACGCCUGCCCGGUGCCGGAAGGUUAAUUGAUGGGGUUAUCCGUAAGGAGAAGCUCUUGAUCGAAGCCCCGGUAAACGGCGGCCGUAACUAUAACGGUCCUAAGGUAGCGAAAUUCCUUGUCGGGUAAGUUCCGACCUGCACGAAUGGCGUAAUGAUGGCCAGGCUGUCUCCACCCGAGACUCAGUGAAAUUGAACUCGCUGUGAAGAUGCAGUGUACCCGCGGCAAGACGGAAAGACCCCGUGAACCUUUACUAUAGCUUGACACUGAACAUUGAGCCUUGAUGUGUAGGAUAGGUGGGAGGCUUUGAAGCGUGGACGCCAGUCUGCGUGGAGCCAACCUUGAAAUACCACCCUUUAAUGUUUGAUGUUCUAACGUUGGCCCCUUACCGGGGUUGCGGACAGUGUCUGGUGGGUAGUUUGACUGGGGCGGUCUCCUCCCAAAGCGUAACGGAGGAGCACGAAGGUUAGCUAAUCCUGGUCGGACAUCAGGAGGUUAGUGCAAUGGCAUAAGCUAGCUUGACUGCGAGCGUGACGGCGCGAGCAGGUGCGAAAGCAGGUCAUAGUGAUCCGGUGGUUCUGAAUGGAAGGGCCAUCGCUCAACGGAUAAAAGGUACUCCGGGGAUAACAGGCUGAUACCGCCCAAGAGUUCAUAUCGACGGCGGUGUUUGGCACCUCGAUGUCGGCUCAUCACAUCCUGGGGCUGAAGUAGGUCCCAAGGGUAUGGCUGUUCGCCAUUUAAAGUGGUACGCGAGCUGGGUUUAGAACGUCGUGAGACAGUUCGGUCCCUAUCUGCCGUGGGCGCUGGAGAAUUGAGGGGGGCUGCUCCUAGUACGAGAGGACCGGAGUGGACGCAUCACUGGUGUUCGGGUUGUCAUGCCAAUGGCACUGCCCGGUAGCUAAAUGCGGAAGAGAUAAGUGCUGAAAGCAUCUAAGCACGAAACUUGCCCCGAGAUGAGUUCUCCCUGAGACUUUAAGUCUCCUGAAGGAACGUUGAAGACGACGACGUUGAUAGGCCGGGUGUGUAAGCGCAGCGAUGCGUUGAGCUAACCGGUACUAAUGAACCGUGAGGCUUAACCUUACAACGCCGAAG